rnacentral:lncRNA from 1 species
AUGCUCCUCUCAGCUGCUUUCAAGUCUGUCCCAGCCAAAAUCAGAUGGUGCACCUUCUCAAAGCAAUGUCAAGAGAUUAAGGAAAACUGGCAAUCAAUCACCAUCCUUUUUCAGAGGAAAAGAACACCCAAGAGUAGAAAGGAAAGUUCUGGGAGAAGUGAUUUUCAUCCAUCUACUUUGGAAUUUAGUCGAUUUCUGGAAGGAGUUGAACAGAGGAAGCAAGCAGAAGAUGAAAAGUUUAAAAACAGGAGAAUCUGCUUUGUGUGCAUUAAAUACCUCCGCAGGUCUUAUUGUUUUAGAAAGUUUUGA